UGCUGUGCGGAUGACGCAGCUCGCCGGUCCCAUCAGACUCUCACUUUGGAUCAGCAGGAGCAGAGCAUGCUGGGAGCUGUCGUGCAAUUCCCCCUCCCACCCGCGCGGGGCAGUGGGCGGUGUAGUCUGCGUGCGACUCUGGCGGCAGAACUUCCUGGAGCGCGAGAUGCAGCCCCCCGAGGUGGGGUCCGCAGCGCUAUGGCAACGCCGCCACGAAGGGGUGGGAGAGCGGCGCGCGCUCAGGCCGUGGGGCUCAGCGACGUGAAACCGGCCCGCGAACCCGCGGCGCGGGAGGAUCACCUGGAAAAGACAGUGCUAAGGAGAUCCCAUCAACCGAAAAAUAACAUCAGUCUGAGCCCAGCAUUCUGAUAGCAGCAGCAGAAUCUUAACAGAAUGAGCCCAGGCCAGGUCCCUAUUACUAGUGGUAUGAUAGUCUAGUCUCAGUCUUCCCACACCCGACUCGAGGAAACAGUUGCUGUUAUUCAUGAGCAUGCACAUUUUGUAAUGUAUCUACACCCAUGAAAAAAAUAAACGAACUGCUGAGUUAAAGAAGAGACUGCUGUAUUAUGGUUUCAUUAAAGGAGACUUAAUAAUUUACAACUUAAUGACAAAAUGUAAGCUAUCGGAGAAUUUCAGAGUUACUUGUGGCAUGAAUGUUUAAGAAAAGGCAGCAUAAUACCACAUUUCAAAAUACAAGACACCUUGUACAAUAGUUACUCUCAAGGUAGGCAACAAACUGAAUAUUAUUUUCUUAUUUAUGUAAACAGGAUACUGGGUUUAAGAUAAAAACCAUAACUGACACACAAGUGCCUAGCAAUUGGAAAGAAUCUGGAACCUCAGUUCUUAAAGAGAAACUACUUUCUUGCUGAUUACAUUUAAUGAUUAGGACCCCCUGAAAGAAAAGUACAUUUUGGAAAUCUGCAGAAGACUGGAAGUAUCCAACCAUGAUCAGUCAUAUUCCAAUACUCACACUAAAAAAAAAAAAAAAAAUUUUAUAAAUAUCUACAGUAUUUAAUAAAGAUGUCUCAACCAAGACAACACUUGUCUACAUAUUUAAGUUCAGCACUUAAAAUAAAGAAAAAGUGAAUAAGUACUGUACAGAUAUUUAAUUUGCUCUCAUCCAGAAAACAGAAUUAAGUUCUUCUCUUUUAAAGUCUUUGCAAUUCUGUCAGUGACAUGAAAUUUAGUUAUCCAUUGAAGACAAAAGACUAAUAAACCAUUUUUGUCUGUGGGGAAAGGAGAUACAGUAACAGGACGGUUUAAAGAAACAACAUGUUAGAUCAAGGCAAGUAAGUGUUAGCUUCUUAUUUAACCAUUUAAAUGUUAAGUGACUUGUAUCCCAUCAGUAUAAAUCGGUGAUUCUUUUAGACUCUGGAUUAGUAAAUGUUU